rnacentral:rRNA from 1 species
GGCAACAGCUCAAAUUUGAAAUCUGGCCUCUUUGGGGUCCGAGUUGUAAUUUGUAGAGGAUGUUUCGGGCACCGCUCCGGUUUAAAUUUCUUGGAACAGAAUGUCAAAGAGGGUGAGAACCCCGUCUUGGACCGGCAGUAGGGCCCAUGUGAAACUCCUUCGACGAGUCGAGUUGUUUGGGAAUGCAGCUCAAAAUGGGUGGUAAAUUUCAUCUAAAGCUAAAUAUUGGCCAGAGACCGAUAGCGCACAAGUAGAGUGAUCGAAAGAUGAAAAGCACUUUGAAAAGAGAGUUAAACAGUACGUGAAAUUGUUGAAAGGGAAGCGCUUGCAACCAGACUUGCGCGCGGCGGUUCCCCCUUCCUUUUGGUUGGGUUAUUCCGCCGUGUCCAGGCCAACAUCGGUUCUGGGGGUCGGUUAAAGGCCUGGGGAAUGUAUCUACCCUUCGGGCGUAGACUUAUAGCCCCGGGUGUCAUGCGACCUCCCGGGACCGAGGAACGCGCUUCGGCUCGGAUGUUGGCGUAAUGGUUGUCAGCGACCCGUCUU